ACUAACUUUUUAAAUAACAAAUAAAUAUGAAAAAAAUUGAAAAAUAAUUUUCAAGAAACUAUUUUUCAUAAAAUAAGCAGAAACCUAGUUUAAUUUAUUUGAAACUCAUAUUAUACUAGGAAGUCAUAGGCCCAAACGGCCAAGUUUAAUAUUAGUGAAGAAACCUAUGAAUUGAGACUAAAUCUUUGAUCUUGAGUAGAGUUAUUUGGAUGUAGAUAAAGAUUAAGAUAUAUUUAUAAACAUAAAAUAUUGACCAUUAAACGGGUAUGAGUAUGAUUCAAACCCAAGCCAUACGCGAGGGCAAGAAAUAUAUUUAUCUGUCUUUUUUAAACAUGUUUCUAACAAGUAAUCAUGACCUUAAUGUUAUCGAAAAACUUAUGUUUAGAAAAUUAUCACAACUAUUAGAUCAAUUAAUUGAAUUUGGGUGAGUCUUGACGUGAUGAAAAUAGACAAGAUGCAUGCUCUUUUUUCAUGAGGGCAAGUUGCUUGCAAGAUAAGAGAUUAGCAAAGUGGGCUCUCCUUCUAUUCUCAGGAGGAAACUAUGUCCAAUGGAAUAGGUAACUUAGAAAUUGGAUAGGAUUACCCUUUUCAUCUCUACCCCAAAUGAAUGCUUAUGAACUCAAAGCCAUAAAUAGAGCCUAAUAUACUAUAAAUUCAAGAAGGUGAAGAGGGAAGGAAGGCUAGGUCCUUUGUCACAGAGAAAAUUCCAGUUUAGGUUUUUUUGUUUGUUAGUUUUUCCUAGUCAUGAUAGUACCAUAAGAGAUGGUCUUUGUAUUCCUUUCUUUCUUGCCCUACUUUUCUUGCCUUUCUUUCCCCUCUUUAUCACUCUUUACUUCUCUUCACUAGCAAGCUAUCUCAAAUUCCUUUGCUAUUGCUUUACCCCCUCCUUGGCGUUUCUCCAUAUAAAAUCAAGUUAUUUCAUUAGAGGCCAUUGUCUCCAAGAAUAACAUAGAAGAAUGGCAAUGGGUGCAAUGUCUGUGACAGUAACAGUUGUUGUUGCUGCAGCUGGGAUUUAUUUCUUCGACAAAAGCCACACCAAAGCUCAGGAGCUGGGAAGCAGAAUGAGAUCAUCUAGUGAAAACAUGGUGGCAAAAGUGAAGACCAGUGAGACGCCAAAAUUAGCACCCCAACUGGAUGGAUUAAACUGUUUUGAAACAUUAAUAUGUCAUUGAUUCUGCUUGGUCUACGUGGUUAAUUAUCUCCUACACUGCCUUGCAGAGGUUGUUAUUAAUGAUAAACCAUGGACAUCACCUUCUUUCUCCAAAACAUUACUUACUGCUUCUGUUGUAGCUAGUCAUGCAUUGAUUAGACAUUACUAGGGAAAAAUGCUACAAUUUUUUGUCUAAACUUUUGCUGAUUAUGAUUUAUUUGUUAAUUCCUAUGGCAUGAAAUGAAAGAGGUUGAAUUGGAGGAAA